GUCUACAUUUUCGUACCCCCUAACUUGUGCAUCUAAGAUGCACAAGUUAGGGGGUACGAAAAUGUGGGUG
rnacentral:pre_miRNA from 12 species